rnacentral:rRNA from 1 species
CCUAACACAUGACAAGUCGAGCGAGGUAGCAAUACCUAGCGGCAGGACGGGUGCGUAAACAGUGGGGGGAAUCUGCCUUUUGGUUCGGAACAACACGGGGGAGACCUGUGCUAAUACCGGAUAAGUCCUUACGGAGAAAGUUUUAAUGCCAAAAGAUGAGCCCGCAUUUGAUUAGCUAGUUGGUGAGGUAAAAGCUCACCAAGGCGAUAAUCAAUAGCUGAUUUGAGAGGAUGAUCAGCCACACUGGGACUGAGAUACGGCCCAGACUCC